rnacentral:miRNA from 1 species
UCACCGGGUGUACGAAUUCUCA